AUGAAGAUGAAGAUGCCUUCUAACAAGUGUGCACACAUCCCUGUCUACACACUGGGUUUUGAGAGUCCUCAGAGGGCACCCACUGCCAAAACCGCGAGGGCGCCAAGGCAAGACGUCUUCCAAUCCCUGCAGGGGCCUCAGUGGCGAAGUGUGGAGGAGGAGUUCCCCCACAUCUACGCCCACGGCUGCACCCUGAAGGAUGUCUGCAGUGACUGCACCAGCUUCAUGGCCCACGUCAUGCGCUCCAGCUGCAAAAUUGUGGAUAUUCUCAAUGCCAUGCCGCGCCGCAGCUGCCAGACUCAGUACCUCUACGUCCCCAGCAACAGGACUCUUGACUUCCAGUGAUGGCCUAAGGUGGCCAGGCCUUCAGGAAGGGACCUGGCUCCAGCCUGCUCCAGGCUGAGGCUCUGCUCCCAGUGCUGGGCCCGGCUGCCCACCGUGCUCCUGAGUUGUGCAUGGACAUAUACAUACCAGAUGCCUUUAUAUAAUAAACCCCUCCAAGACCCUGGC
rnacentral:lncRNA from 1 species